GCCCGGGUGGCUCAGUUGGUUAAGCCUCUGAUUUCGGCUCAGGUCGUGAUCUCAUGGUCUGUGGGUUCGAGCCCCACGUCAGGCU
rnacentral:tRNA from 1 species